rnacentral:rRNA from 1 species
AGCGAACGCUGGCGGCAGGCUUAACACAUGCAAGUCGAACGCCCCGCAAGGGGAGUGGCAGACGGGUGAGUAACACGUGGGAACGUACCCUUUGGUUCGGAAUAACUUGGGGAAACUCAAGCUAAUACCGGAUAAGCCCUUAUGGGGAAAGGUUUACUGCCGAAGGAUCGGACCGCGUCUGAUUAGCUAGUUGGUGAGGUAAUGGCUCACCAAGGCGACGAUCAGUAGCUGGUCUGAGAGGAUGAUCAGCCACACUGGGACUGAGACACGGCCCAGACUCCUACGGGAGGCAGCAGUGGGGAAUAUUGGACAAUGGGGGAAACCCUGAUCCAGCCAUGCCGCGUGAGUGAUGAAGGCCUUAGGGUUGUAAAGCUCUUUUACCCGGGACGAUAAUGACUGUACCGGGAGAAUAAGCCCCGGCUAACUACGUGCCAGCAGCCGCAGUAA